rnacentral:rRNA from 1 species
AGCAGUAGCCGCGGUAAAACAGAGGGUGCGAGCGUUAAUCGGAUUUACUGGGCGUAAAGCGUGCGUAGGCGGCUUUUUAAGUCGGAUGUGAAAUCCCUGAGCUUAACUUAGGAAUUGCAUUCGAUACUGGGAAGCUAGAGUAUGGGAGAGGAUGGUAGAAUUCCAGGUGUAGCGGUGAAAUGCGUAGAGAUCUGGAGGAAUACCGAUGGCGAAGGCAGCCAUCUGGCCUAAUACUGACGCUGAGGUACGAAAGCAUGGGGAGCAAACAGGAUUAGAGACCCCUGUAGUCCCUGUCUCUUAUAC